AACUCAGACGGUAUUAAAUCGACCGUUGCAUAAACCCGUGAUAAACCUUCCUUUGUUUGCCUUGAUGUUCAAGCCAAACCUCCGAAUCGUGCUCGCUACUCUCUCUUUCGAUCGUACUCCUUUCAGUCUUCGAUCGCCACAGUUAUGGGGGGUUGAAUUUACGCCUUUUCUCCAAUCUCUUAUUGCCAAAAGAUUUCGUUUCUUAUGGGCAGAUUCAGCUGGUUACGAUCGGUGAGCGGAUUCGAUCGAGCAUUUCAGGAGGGUCCAGUCGUUCUUCUUUUUGGUUGGUCUGUGUUCGCUAAUCUCGGUUGUUGUACAGUGCCGGCGGCGGCGCUUGCUGUCUUCGGUUACUGGCCGGACGAAUUCGAUUGCGAAUGAUUUGGUUUCGGAUUCGCAGAGGGCGGUUUUGCUCGCCCGGAGUAAGCUUUUCUUUUUUUCUCUCUUUUUCUUCCCCUGUGAUGAUGUAGUUAUUGCUUAGCUCAUGAAUGGAAGUAGCUGAAGCUUUUCAUCGAUCAGCUUCGUAGCGUCGCAGGUUUAUUUUACUGGGAAGAAUCCUGUCGAUUGUGAGACCUUGACGUGGCCAUGGAGGUAUCGGCGUCUUCAUGCAACAGGUUCUCAUCCCUACCCCAAAAGAAGCUACUACGAUAUUCUUGGUGUUUUGGAGGACGCCAGACGCGAUGAGAUUAAGAAGGCUUUUCAUGUGCUUGCAAAGAAGUACCAUCCUGAUGCACAUAAUAAUGAUCCUUCUGCAAAGAGGAAAUUUCAAAAGAUAAGAGAUGCUUAUUAGAUGCCAGUGGAGGAAAACUUUUUCACAGAUUUUCACUUGUUGUUUGGAUGUCUGAUACGUUGGGGGUGACAAUUCUUCUUUCUUGCCUUUUCAACUAAUCUCAGACUUUGCAAAGUCCUGGAAAAAGAGCUGAGUAUGACAGGGAAAAAUCUCUCGCUCUUUCUACUUUCAACUGAAUGACAUGGUGAACUUAGCAUCUGAAAGCAUAGCUGCAUUCAUAAGAGCGUGUUUUGCUCAUUGUGCCGUCUACAUUAAUUUAAUGAAGAAACACCAUAGAAGUUCAGAAAUGUUGAAUAUGGUGAAGGAGAUGCUGAGGGGUUUCCAGGUUAUUAUGAAAGGUAUUUCUCUAGUUCAUUCCACAAGAUCUUUUCUUGCACUGCUUGUCAUUAUCUUCCAAUCUUCUGAUCCACGGUAUUUAGCUAAAGGAAACAUUUGGUGUCAUAUCAGAAAUUUUGGGACAAGAUGGAUCGAUUUGCAUCUGAUGUUGAGGUUCACAGUUAUACUCUGGUCUUCUUUGUUUAUGAGCUAAUAUUACUUGGAUUUCCGCCCUUUAUCUUGUUUGCUUAAUGAGAUAAUAUUGUAGGAUUAAUGCCACGUUAUGUUGAAAAUUUAUUGGUGGAACUGAUACUUUCUUUCCUCGAAGCUGUAGAAGGGUGCACAAAGAUGUUUCCUUUGACGCAUGUCUUCCUUGUGAUACUUGUUGGUUAGUAGAGUUCAGUAUUUUUUUAUCACUGGUUACGGUACAUGUGACAGUACAUCCUUCUACCUCUUGUUUCUGCAAUGUCUCUUGGAGAUCGAAUUGAUUAUAUAUGUAGCUUUAGAUGCUAAAAGUGUGAUCAAUUUAUGCUCACUGGUACUUUGCUGCUCUGGUCCUGUUUGCUUGCUAAAGGUUUGUCAACCAAUGUGUGAUUAGUUUUUGCACCUUUUGAAGGGUUUUGGCUUGUCCAUGUAGAACUUAAAAGUAUGAUCACGGAUAGUUUAUUAUAUAUGAGAAACAAGAUUUACAAUUGAUCAAGGUGGCUGCUAAGAAUUGGCAAAUAUUGAGGUGCCUGGAAAGUGUAGGGCAAUUAUACCUCUAAUGAGAGUUAACUUUACUGUGAUUUUUUUUUGUUAAAAUCAUUGGCUGUACAUAACCAUAUGAAAAUCCCAGUUACUGAUCUUUGAUUUUGCUUAUGAUAUCCUUUGAUUUUUUAUGAGUUACUUUGCAGGGUUUUUCUUUUAGUACAUUUCCUGUGGCAAAAUCAUGACGAUAUGUCUACAUGAUAAUUGCAGAUGGGUGGGGUUAUUCACCUGCUGUCGAGGUGAGAGUAUGUCCAACUUGCAGAGGCAUUGGGAGGGAUAAUUCUGUGAUUCAUCAGAAGUUUGACGGACCAUCACAUAGUAUAUAUGACAUGCACUUUGGUCUUCCUUGCUAUUAGGAGCAAUGCAUUUCUUGUGGAGCAUCAGGAGUUCUUGAAGGCACUAAGGAAAUUAAAGUUACAAUUCCUUCACGUAGGUCGGAGUUAUUGAUCUCUGACAGAGUUUUGCAGUUUUUGUGUUCGAUGCAUCCUUUCUGUGAAGAUGUAAAAUGAUGAAUAAGGCUAACUCGGUUGAGACUUGAGAUCUGGGAGAAUGAACAGGUUGUGCAUGCUCAUUUUAUGGCUUUAUGGCCUCAGUUCUUUAUGUUAUAUGCACGUGACGUCUGUGAAUAUUGUUAUUACUGUCAAAACAUGCUUCUGUAGGAUUCACUGCUUUAAUAUUCUGGUUUGAGUGUAAAUUAGAAGCACAUGGGUUCAGGUGUGUUGUUAAACCUAUAUUUUUCGAUCUACCUUUCUCCGACGAUUGCAACAUUCAGGGGGAUGACUACUCAAGUUCUGCUACUCCCAUUUUCUUCCUACAAUGUUAUACACUACUCAUGGUUGAUUCUGGGAUGGUCUCAAAGCAUUUUCCCUCUGUAAGGAAAUAAUUUCUUGUUGACACUGCAAGGCUUUUACUGCUCCAUGUGGUGGCUGCAGGAGAAAUAACACCAGUAAAAUGCAAUGUGAUGUGUGUCUGAAAUAUGAAUCAUGUCCCGCACAAGUUGUCUGGUCAGGGCAAAAGACAGCUUAAGCAUUAAGGAUCUUUUUUGUCACCAUCAUGUGGCUUCAGUAGCAUCAUGAUACUUGUCUGUAUCAUUUAGUGCUAGUGAACAUGCAAAGUUUAUUAUCACAGGAGUUUGCUUUAUCUCAAGCAUCACGAUGCUUUUUCCCAAAAUGAGAGCAUGACUAGCUUAUACUUUUCAAUAUUUAUUAUUCAUUUGGAUAUCUUCAUCUUACGCAUAAUUAACCCAAAUACUGUACAAAUUCUCUCUCUGUCUCUGUCUCUCUCACUGUACACUCAUGCUGGUGUUCUGAAAGUUAGGGUGUCAGAACAUUUAAUAUCAAACAAUGUGUUAAUAUAACAGUUUACGCUUUUAUAUAAGUUGACUAGGAUCCCUUAUUACGACAUGGUGAGCAGAAUGUCUGUUAUUUUCCAGGCCUCUUAUUAGCCUCCUUGGCUGACUCUUAACCUACCAUGUGAGGAAGUGUAAGAAUAUUUGAAUGUUAAAAAGUGCCACCAUAGAAAAGCUUUUCUGAUAUCUUAAGUUUUUCAGAAAAGUUGCCAUUUCUGCAUUUUGCAAGUCUAGAGAGCUGACUUGUUAAUUUAUUUAUUGUGCAUGAGUGAAAUGGUGCAACAUGACCAUCUUCAUAUGUCAUAAUGUGUUUUCCUAAUUUGGUAACAUAGCCUUUAUCUUUUCUCUUGGGAUACGGCUUGUUUUGAGGACAUCUUCAUUUAUGACCAAUGUUCGUAAAACAAACAUGUCUACAACACAUAUUGUCUCAGGUGACUUCAGAGGGCUGACAGGGUAAAUCAAUGCAGUUGGGACAUAUGACAUAGAUCCUCAUGUCAUGAGCAUGGAUUGCCUUUAUUAAAGAACAAAACUGUAUCUGAUGUAUCUUCAGUGGAUAACCUGAUAUUGGAUUGCCUUUAUUAAAGAACAAAACUGUAUCUGAUGUAUCUUCAGUGGAUAACCUGAUAUCUUCCAUUCCUGAAUGGAGUAGGUGUGGAUUUGGGACAUACAAUUCGCAUGCUAGAAGCUGGUAAUGCUGGAGCUCAUGGGAGUCAAUCUGGCAACUUAUUCAUCAAAUUAAAGGCAUGAUGCCCUCUUCUUUUCUGGUUGUAUGGUAAUAAUGAUAUUAAGGACAACUUUGAUCCCGCUCAAUGGUAGAAGCUUUAUUCUGCUGUUGUUGGAGCUUUCCUGUGUAGCUUUAUAGUAUCGUUUCUCCAUUUGAAGUCUGUCAUAUGAUUUAUCUGGAAUUUGUCCCAGAAACUGUUACUACCAUCAAAGAAUUUUGGUUGUGAUAGUGGAACAUUUCGAAGUCUUGCAUUACAUAAGCGGUCACCUGCAUCACUGUUAGAUUGCCAACCAAAUGUGCAUGUAACUAGUAACUGUGCUCACGCAGGCGGCUGAAGAUCGUACCUUUACCAGAUGUGGUGAAGAUAUAUAUGUGGUCUCAGAAAUUAGCCGUACAAGUGAGAACAAAACUAUUGAGCAUAUUAUGUUUUGCCUCUUGUUCCACUUAUAAGAAAGUUCCCCCACCUAGCUUUAGCUCUUGCCAUAUCUGAAAUCCUGUUUGUGUUUAGGUUAGUAAUUCCUCUAAUCUAUCUUGAUAGUUGUAAAUUAAUUGAUAUUAGCUUUAAUUAUUAUGGCAUACACUGAAAUUAAUAUGUCAGGCUGAAAUUAUUCUUAGACACAGCAUUGCUGCAGGAUUCCAAAUUCAUGUCGAUCCUGGAGAUCUAUAUGUGCGAAUUUAGAUUAAAUUCCCCAGUUAUGUUAUUUAUUAGUUUUUUGUCUGUUUUCAAAAUCAUCAGAGUUUGAUUGAGUUUCCUCCUCCUCCUCCUCCUCUUCCUGGUCCUUGCUUAUGCAUAAUUGGUCUGGUCAAUAUGCAUUUGUGGCUAGUAUACAUUUGAGUUGCAUUUAUGGAUGAUUUGUAGAUGGAGUUUCUACUUCUCAUGGAGGCACAUUGCACAUGUAAUGGUAUUACAUUAACUUCAAUUCUUAAAAAUGAAUGAAUCUAAAUCCUUUGUCAUUGGACUACGACAAUCUUCCCUUUAAAGUCGGGGUCCAUCUUCGUAAAUGUCAACAAGUAUCACAUUUAUAGUAGGAGUUCCUUUCUCGUUAUGCAAUAUUUGAUUGUUUCCAGAAAAGGAACAGUUAGGCCACUCCAUCUCUGUUAGCCAUUUGUUAGCUUGGACAGAGAAUUUUAUUAGCCAAGAUAAUGAGAGAUUUGAUCAGGAAUACUUACUUCCAGUAUUGUUUUUUGAUUGUUAUCAAGACAUUAGGCAUUGGUUGUUUGGCUGUCAAAAUUUGAUGCAAUGUAUUUACUUUCUAUAACUGGUUACUUUUCAGUGAGAUGAAUGAAAUACAACAUGCAGUUUUAGAAGAAUUUGAUAAAGAAGGAAAUUGAUAUGUCCUCUUCUUCUUUUUUAUGAUGGCAUCUAGUUUGCAUAUAUGCUUUUGUCCUUUAUGUUUAUUUUUAUUAUCUGAUUCUUGUGAUGGUUAUAUCAACAGUUUAUGCUUAAUGACAUUUAUGGGUUCUUGUCAUUAAUGGGUGGAUCAAUCACCUUUGAAACCAAAUUAUAUGUUGUCAUGAUCUGAAUUGAUCAUUAUUCUUUUAGUUUCAUGUUUGAUUCUUUCCUUUUGUUUGGGUUUUACUUUGCUUCUCAGCAGAUCUUUCUCUGAGGAGUGGUGGUUAUGUUGUUUUCCUAAAUGGACAUAGAAAUAUGAUUUUUUUUUGUGCCACUGCCAGGUGCAGCACCAUCUGAUCAUUGCAGUCGGGGGUGAUAGCACUUGGCUCUCAUUCUCUUGCAUUUGGGACACCUCUGGAUUAAUAGGGUGAAGCAACCACCAAGAAUAUCAUGCUGUUUCUGAAAUUGAUGGGAGGGUGUAGUAGGAACCAUCUAGAUUGCAUCUGAUGGUUACUUUAACAUGUUUUCCACCUAGACCAAUCAAAAAAUGUUUCUUACACUUGGACGAUAUCGAAAAAUAUCUUAAAAUUCUGGCAGGUCUACCUGAUGCUUUCUGUGGUAGAAAGAGGGGAGGAAAGUAUAGGGUGGGUGGUGAGCAUCAUAAAUUUUUCCUCCAAAACCUUCUCAUGGAAGAUUCAAAUUCUUCCAAGAUUUCAUAUACCCCCCUUUCAUUUUCUUCCCCUGUAUUCUCUCCCAAACAAAGCCUGAGUGUCUGACGUAAUCAUAUAUCUAGACCACGUAGACCAAAACCAUCUAAACCGUUGAUCUGGUGGUUCUGAUAGUGAGACCUACAUAAUUAAUGGUUGAGAUGAUAUCUGUACAUGGUAUAGACUGUCUAAUGACUUUCCUGACAUAGGCAUAACUGUUUUGGUUUUUCGCAGUCUGUUAGUUGGCAUUUGUGUUUCUAGAAGGUGCUAUUCUUACAUUGACACCUCAAGUGGUUUGGACUUUGGUGCAUUUGGAUUGCACAUGCGUGCUUUCCAUUCUUCGUGUUUAUAAUUUUCUAUCAGAAAAAGGGAAUGUUCAUUUAAUACAACCUUUUAAAUAGUUAAUUGUUGCUACUCCUGAUUAUGAUAGAGAUCCUGAAAUGGAUAACAGUCUUUAUCAGCAGCUAUAUACUGGUUGAAAAUACAGUCGGGCACAAUGCUCAAGAUGCCUCCGGUCCUGUGGAUCCUCAUGCUCCUGCUCAUAUAUGGAAUUUGCAGUCAGAUUGGCUCAGAUGAUAGCUCAGAGUGAAA